rnacentral:rRNA from 1 species
UACGGGGGGGGGCAAGCGUUGUUCGGAAUUACUGGGCGUAAAGGGCUCGUAGGCGGCCAACUAAGUCAGACGUGAAAUCCCUCGGCUUAACCGGGGAACUGCGUCUGAUACUGGAUGGCUUGAGUUUGGGAGAGGGAUGCGGAAUUCCAGGUGUAGCGGUGAAAUGCGUAGAUAUCUGGAGGAACACCGGUGGCGAAGGCGGCGAUCCUGGAC